UAAAAGAAAGUAGUUAACUUCUACUAUUAAGGA
rnacentral:tRNA from 1 species